GAAAUGCGAUACGUAAUGUGAAUUGCAGAAUUCAGUGAAUCAUCAAAAUCUUGAACGCACCUUGCGCCUUGAGGUCACUCAAGGCAUGCUUGUUUCAGGGUCAGUUUAUUAUUCUCCACAAACACACAACUGUGUGUGUGGGAUAUGGCAGUCGCAAGCACAUGCUUCCGUCUGUUGAAAAAGAUGAGCCUACCAGCAUACCGAGUCGCUCACUGCGCACGGCUGGGCAUCGAUGAGUUUUGAACGCGGCAUAGCCCGUACUUAUCUCAUCAACCCAGCUGCUAGCGGUAAGCCUCAUGUUGGCAGGUGGCCAAACACAAUGCUACCAGCUAGCAUUGGCACUUCCAUCUUUCAAUUUUGACCUGAAAUCAAGUAGGGCAACCCGCUGAAUUUAA
rnacentral:misc_RNA from 1 species